rnacentral:rRNA from 1 species
AUGGUAAAAAAGGCAAAAUUCUUGGAAUCGUCUUGGCUUAAUGGCCUCAUAUUAAAAGAUGUAACGCCCAAGAUCUUUGAGAUAUCUAAGAGGAAGACGUGCCUGGUCAACAAAGCGCUUGAUAAUAACUUCUGGAUCAGCCAGAUCAGCAUUGCUCGGGGCCUCUCUUUGGCCCAUAUCCAGGACUUCACCAAUCUUUGGGGGAUGCUACAGGAUGUUACCCUCAACCUGGAUAGGAAGGACACAAUAAAUUGGAAAUUCACCUCUACUAAUGAAUAUCCGGCAGCCUCCGCUUACAUGGCGCAGUUUGUGGGGCAAGUUCUCAGUCCGUCCUCUACCACGAUGUGGAAGACUUGGGCUCCGCCGAAAUGCAAAUAUUUUGCUUGGUUGAUCAUUCAAAAUCGUGUGUGGACAGCCGAUCGGUUGCAAUGGCAGGGUUGGCCGAAUUGUCAUUGUCGCGAAGAUCAAAGAGGAGGCCCGCCUUUGGGCGCUGGCGGGAGCUAG